GACAGAGGAUGCAAGCGUUAUCCGGAAUUAUUGGGCGUAAAGCGUCUGUAGGUGGCUUUUCAAGUCCGCCGUCAAAUCCCAGGGCUCAACUCUGGACAGGCGGUGGAAACUACCAAGCUGGAGUACGGUAGGGGCAGAGGGAAUUUCCGGUGGAGCGGUGAAAUGCGUAGAGAUCGGAAAGAACACCAACGGCGAAAGCACGCUGCUGGGCCGACACUGACACUGAGAGACGAAAGCUAGGGGAGCAAAUGGG
rnacentral:rRNA from 1 species